UGUUUCUUAAUGGCCAUUUCCUUGAGCAUAUACAAAUGAGUGUAACAAUUUAAAGUCUCUUACAUUCACCUUUGCCUGCUCCUCAACUCCUUGUUUUUGUCAUCAUCCACCUUCCUAUUACAGGCUUAUUUCAUGCUAAAAAAAGAAUGGGCCUUCUACAAAAAGCCUUAGUCCUGCCUGUGAGUGAUUUGUGGAUCUCUCUAGUCUUUCUCCUGAUCCAGCUGUGAUCUCAGAAGCCAGCUGAUGGAGAAUUUUGGAUUCAGUAACCUUGUAAGCAGCGCUCCUCCUUUCAAUAGUGGGGUGUCACAGCAAAGUCAAGGCAAAAUUCUAAUGCCUUUCAAA
ensembl:lncRNA